rnacentral:rRNA from 1 species
UACGAGGGGGGCAAGCGUUGUCGACUGAAUUGGUGGCGUAAAGGGUGCGUAGGCGGUCUGACAAGUCUGAUGUGAAAUCUAUGGGCUCAACCCAUAGUCUGCAUCGGAAACUGUCGGGCUUGAGUAUGGGAGAGGUGAGUGGAAUUCCUGGUGUAGCGGUGAAAUGCGUAGAUAUCAGGAGGAACACCUGUGGCGAAAGCGGCUCACUGGACCAUAACUGACGCUGAUGCACGAAAGCUAGGGGAGCAAACAGG